rnacentral:lncRNA from 1 species
ACUGGCCCGUGACGCAGGCGCGGUUGGAAAGAAGCUGAGGACUGGAUGUGCGGAAACCAGUCAGAUUCCUGCAGAAUAAGCAUGCAAUUGGCUCAUCCGACAUAUCCAGUGAGAUUAUCCUUGAUUGGCAGAAUGCUAGUUCCACACUUCCUACAAGAACACUGGCUACUCUACAGAUACUCUCUAUAUUCUGGGAAAAGAUUUCAGGAUCAUAUAAUAUAAAAAAUGGCAAUACCACAAGAGACAAACCAAGGCUGAGGGACUCAUCUUGAUGAAGACAAAAAAAGACAUGACAACUAAAUAAGAUUUAUGAUUCCAAAUUGGAUCCUGAGCCAGAAAAAAAAAAUGCCAUAUUGGGCCUACCAGUAAAAAUGUAAAAGAACUACAGGUUAGAUAAUAGUAUUGUAUUGAUGUUAAGUUUCCUAAUUUUGAAGAUUGUACAAAAGUCAUGUAAGAGUAUGCCCUUUUCUAUUAGGAAAUGCACUGUGAUGGUUAAUAUUGAAUGUCAACUUCAUUGGAUUGAAGGAUGCAAAGUAUUGUUCCUGGGUGUGUCUGUGAAGGUGUUGCCAAAAGACAUUAACAUUUGAGUCAGUGGACUGGGAGAGGCAGACCUACCCUCAAUCUGGGUGGGCACCAUCUAAUGAGCUGCCAGGGCGGCUAGGAUAAAAGCAGGCAGAGGAACAUGGAAGGACUAAACUGGCUGAGUCUUCCGGCCUUCAUCUUUCUCCCAUUCUGGAUGCUUUCUGCCCUCAAACAUCGGACUCUAACUUCUUUAGCUUCUGGACUGUUAGACUUACACCAGUCAUUUGCCAGGGGCUCGCAGGCCUUUGGCCACAGACUGAAGGCUACACUGUCGACUUCGCUACUUUUGAGGUUCUGGGGCUCAGACUGGCUUCUUUGCUCCUCAGCUUGCUGACAGCCUAUUGUGGGACUUUACCUUGUGAUUGUGUGAGUCAAUACUCCUUAAUAAACUCCCUUUCAUAUAUAUAUAUAUAUCCUAUUAUUACUGUCCCUCUAGAAAACCCUAAUACAUAUGCAUUAAAAAUGUUUGGUGAACUAUUUUCAAAUAGUUUCCUAAAAUUCAUAAAAUUUAUGUAUAUAUGAUAUGCAUAUAUGAUAUGUAUUUGUCAUAUUAGGAUAUAUUAUAUAUAGCAUAUAUUUAUAAGGUAUAUUCAUAAUAUGUAUGUAGUAUUAUAUUAUGGGCACAUAUAUAUUUAAUAUAAAUUUAUCCAAUACAUACACAUAAUCACAUAAAGAGAAAAAUAUUAAAAGAGAGAAAAUUGUAUAGCAAAUGCACAAAACAUUGCUGGUUAGAGGAUCUGGGAAAAGAGCAUUCAGAAGUUUUUUGAACUUCCAACUUUUUUCCAAGUUUAAAAUUAUUUUAAAAGAAAAAGGAAAAAUUUACAAAUGGAUAAUGAGCUAUGUACAAGGAAGCACUAAAAAAGGGGGUCAUGGUCAUGGCUAAAUUAUGAUCCAGAUUAAGUGUACCAGUAUACCUUGGAGAUAUUGUGGAUUUGGUUCCAAAGCAGCACAAUAAAGUGACUAUCACAACAAAGCAGGUCAUGCAAAUUUUUUCGUUCCCCGGUGCAUAUAAAAGUCAUAUUUAUAACACAUUUUAGUCUCUUUAGCAGGCAAUAGCUUUGUGUCUAAAAAAAGUACAUGCCUUCAUUUAAAAAUGGUUUAUUGCUAAAAAUUGGUAACAAUCAUCUGAGCCCUUAGCCAGUUAUAGUCUUUUUCCCAGUGGAGUUUCUUGCCUUGAUGUUGAUCUGCUAACAAAUAAGGCUGAUAGUUAUCAAAGGCUCGGAUGGCUGUGGCAAUUUCUUAAAACAAGGCGGCAAUGAAAUUUGCCACAUUGCUGGACUUUUCAUGAAAGAUUUCUCUGUACAUGCAAUGCUGUUUGAUAGCAUUUUCCCCACAAUACCACUCCCUUCAAACUUGUAGUCAAUCUUCUCAAAUUCUGCGACUGUUUUAUUAAAGAUGUUUAUAUGAUAUUUUAAAUCAUUUGUUGUCAUUUCAACAAUGUUUAUAGCAUCCUCACCAGGAGUAGACUCCAUCUCAAAAAACCACUUUCUUUGCUCAUCCAGAGAACCAACUCUACAUUUGUUCAAGUUUUAUCAUGAGAUUACAACAGUUCAGUCAUGUUUUCAGGCUCCACUUCUGAAUCCAGUUCUCUUGUUAUUUUCACCACAUCUUCAGUAAUUUCCUCCACUGAAGUCUUGAGCUCUUUAAAUCACCUGUGAGGGUUGUCACCACGUUGUUCCAAAAUUCUGUUAAUGUUGAUAUUUUGACCUCCUCCCAUGUAUCACAAAUAUUCCUAAUGGCAUCUAAAACAAUGAAUAUUUUGAAGAAGUUUUUCAAUUUACUAUGCCCAGGUUUAUAAGAGUAAUCACUCUCAAUGGUAAUUAUAACCUUAUGAAAUGUAUUUCAAAUAUCUUAGUCACAAAACAAUUCUGCUUCAUCUACUUGUGGCAGUCUUUCUCAGGUCCAAUAAAUCACUUGGAUACUGCUUGUAAGAAAAUGUGGAACGAUAGUCUUUUCACCAAUGAUAAAUAUUUGCUCCAAUAAUAUAAAUUUUACACUUUGCUGAUUCAUUGCUUCUAAAAACACAAAAAGUUUUCAGAUUGAAGGCUGAAUCACAUUGUACUCUUUUUAAAGACAUUUUGGAGGGCAAAAUGUCAACCCAUGUAUCAACAACCAUGCACUUGACUCAAAUGAAGUGGGAACAAUAUGAAGACCUGUGACCAAGUUGCCAUAGUUGUUGACCUGAGAUAGGGGUCAGCAAACUUUUUCUGUAAAGAGCCAGAUAGUAAGUAUUUUAGGUGUUGCAGACUAUAUGACUGCUGUUGCAACUACCCAACUCAGCCUUUUCAGUACGAAUGCAACCAUAUACAAAAUGUAAGGGAUUGAGCAUGGUUGUGUUGCAAUAAAGCUUUAUUGCAAAAAUAGGUGCAAGCUUUAGUUUUUUGACCCCUGAUUAAUGGAAUGGGCACAUGACCUAAGCUGGCACGGUAAGAUUCCUCCCUCAACUGGAGAAGAAAAGUGUUUAAAAUAUCAGACUACAACCAAAACUGAGUGCUACUUGCAGCCAACUUUCCAGCCUCAUGGGGACAACUUGGCUGAAAAAAUGGAGCUAACAUAUUGAAAGAAGCAAAUACAAGAGACAGAAUCAUCUCAGUAUUCAAGGAUGUGAAUCAUUUUUUUUUCCUGAGGUCAACGCUUCCCCUGACCUUUCUGUGCUUUGGUUACAUUAAUCUAUAUCGUCCCUUUCUUGGGAUAAGCUGAUUCAACCUCUUUCUAUUGUUUAUUAUCCCUGGCUAAGUAAUCUUGGUAGAGUUACUUUAACUCUCCAGAUCUCAGUCUCUUCACUUAAAAUAUGUGAACAAAAAUGAACCUACUUUACCAGAUUUAUAUGGACAUUAAAUGAUAUAUGGGAAAGUGCAUAGAGCAGUGUCUGGCAAAUA